GUAUUUACAUGAACAUUUCCAUAGAUAAGAGAUUUACAUUGACAAGUUAUGUCAACUCCUUCGCCGUCGACGGACGACCUGUCAAACUGUCAUUCCGCAAUUCGCAUUCGCAUUUCGCAGGCUUCGAUUGUUUGCUUUACUGUUUAGUGUUUCCUAAUAUUUUAAUUUGAACUAUUGACCGCAUUUAUUGACCUGCGUUUAAAUUAAACUAAUUUUGCGUUACCUCAUCGGUGUUAUUUUAUAACAAGUGUUUUUAUGUGGACGCAUUAUUUUUUAGUAGUUUUAUUUUGUAGUGAAAAAAUAAAAUCACAAACCUCGCAAAAUUGUGUAAAUAGUUCAAUAUCUUCAUGUUACUGAAACAUAAUAAAAAUAAUAAUAACAAUCCUACUCCAGUGAGAUAAAAAUAAAUAAAAAAUAGCGCGCCAAUGCACGACGUCUUCGAGAAAAUAUCGAUGUGUGAAGUGGACCGGGAUUUUGUUCGGUGGGGCUAUGUUGUUCGUCAGUGCCUUAGCGAUAGGGAUGAUUACUGGCUUGCAGAAUGUCACCACGGAGACGCCGACGACGGGGAGUGACGUAGAGACGACGUCCACCACCAUGGGCCUGUUGGAGGCGACCAGGCCCGCUGUCGUCAACGACUUCGUGAACGUGACGAUCCAGGAGCGGCCUUCGAUGUGGGACCUUUAUUUGAACCACUGCCCCAAGUGGCGUCCGAUCAACCAUAUAUUUUUCCAAGCAGCCAAUGUGUUCUACCUGUUAUCUUUCCUUGCUCCCCACACCCCGAGUGGGCUGGUGUGGCUCCGCGUGGCUCUGAUCCUGGGCUGCGCCUGCUCUGGUCUGUGGGCGUGGAGCAUAGAGUGCUACUUGGACGCUGUUGUGUGGAACAGUGUGUUUGUUGUCAUAAACUUUGUGUACUUCUCUGUGCAGUUUUACUUGUUGCGGCCCAUCAGGUUCCAUAAGGACAUUGAAGAGGUGUACAUAGCGCUGUUUAAGCCGCUGCGUGUGUCGCGGCGCCAGUUCCGGCGCGUGCUCAUGUGCAUGAGGAACGUGCGACACCUCAAGUGUCACGAGCUGUACGCGCACGAGAAGGUCACCAAGGUGGACAGCCUCUCCCUGGUGUUGUCCGGGAAGCUGGUGGUGUCCCAGAACCAGCGCGCACUCCACAUUGUGUUCCCACACCACUUCUUAGACUCGCCGGAGUGGUUUGGCGUAUCGACUGAUGAAUUUUUUCAGGUGUCAAUAAUGGCGAUGGAGGAGUCACGAGUGCUGGUGUGGCACCGCGACAAACUAAAGCUUUCGAUCAUGUCGGACGGCUUCCUGCAGGCGGUGUUCGAUCACAUACUGGGUCGGGACGUUGUUCAUAAACUGAUGCAGGUGAGCGAAACGAUGUCGGUGAGCAACGGCCACCUCCCCAACAGUUACGAGGAGGGCGAGGACAAGCCGAUGCUGGUGGUGAAGAAAGCCGGCGACGGACCCGGCAUCACUGCACUGCUCAACCGACAGUUGCAAGGCGAGAGCGCGCCGCUGCUGCGACCGACGCCGUCCCACGCGUGCUGAGCGACGGAUACCCCUACCCCCUUCAUUGUUACCCCCCCUUUUAUACCCCCUUUCAAUCCUCUCAAAUCAUCCCCUUCAUUUAUCGUAUCGUAUGACUUUAUAUUUCACAUUAUUUUGCCAUUUAUUUAUAUUUAUCGUAUAUUCACGCUUAUCACGUUUGAGUUAAUACUUUUUUAAAGCUGUAUAUUCAUGGUUCUCAACGUCUGAUGUAUUACGCGUUGUAGUAGUGCAAUAAAGAGUGAUGAGUAGACCUAAGAUGCAUUAAACAUAUUUGUUCCGAAAAAAUAACAUAUUGCCGUCCAAUGAGCUUGUUUCCUCUAAAGGUAUUAAUAAAAUCCACUAGGGGUAGUACCAUUAAAAAUUAAAAUAUAAAUGUGUUGAUUUUUCUAUCGAAAUCACCAUCCAUUCCAAUGUUUUUUUUUUAUUAUUUGACGGUCAUAUGUCAAUUUGUACCUACCCCUGGUGCUGCCUGUAGCGGAUUUUUUAAAACCUUUAGAGGAAAAAAACACGCACUGUGCGCACAUACUAACAUUUUGCGCAGUACAUACAGCACUGUAAUCAGUAAAAAAGCUUUAAUAAGGUUUUAAUUAAUAGAUGAUUAGAAUAGUACACCCCUCUUGAAGUAUAAGGGAGGUACUAAACAUAUUGUGUACAAUUGAAAUCGAAUCCAUUGUAUACGAAGGUAAAUUACUGUUUUUGAGUGCUACGUUUAGUAUGUUUGUUACGUAAUGGUGUAACUAUAGGGUGGCAGGACUGGUAAAAUACCACUGGCCCACAGACCGAACGGGUCCCUAAUACUAUCAAAGUAUUAUUGAUAUUGCUGGCUUUAAAAUAAAGUCGAAAAUCAAUUAACAUACGGACGGACGGACUGAGAAAAGAAAUUAAUAUUUCAUUAAAAAAAAUCAUUUUUAAAAAAGAUAAGAUUGAAUUUUAAAAAAUUUGAACACCUUUAAUCCGUCCCUUUUUAUUAACAAUUCGAUCACGAAUUAAAACUGUAAAUAUUUUAAUUAAUAAAUUAAGUUUUCAAAAUCUCGAAAUGUAUCUGAUAGGUUCGCUUUUAUAGGUAGCACUGGUAAGGUUUUUGCUCAAUUUUGCCUCGUGAUAUUCCUAUUCGCUUCAUUUCCUUUCCGUCUUUCAUUUUUUUUGUGUUAAAUAUUCACCUAUACGUAUACUAAUCAUUAAAACACAAAAAAAGCUUUGUAGUUUUUUAGUGUAAACAAAAUUAAACGGAUCAAUAUACAAGAAGAAUAAUUUUGUUGGUGUUUGGCCGACUAGCUUCGAACCAAUACGUCGGUUUCGUUUUGCAAAUGACACAAUUGACAAUGACUAAGAAAUCACGUUGCAUCCGAAAUUGGUUGGACAUUCCCCGACGAUUUCUCAUGUCCGUUUUAUUUUGUUUUCAUGAUUACGCGUAUAUAAUAUACAUAAUUAUAUUCACAAAAACGUGUCAUAUUUUUAUAGUAUUGAUAUUAGCAAGUAUUGAAAAUAAGUACAUUUGCAUAUAAAUCAGUAUUUUUGGAAUUAAUAAAUCGUUAGAUAUUUAAGUGAUUAAAAUUUAAUGGUAUUUUUUCACAUUUAAUAAUAAGUAAAACUUAUAAUGCACAAAUGUUAGUCUUACGUUUUAAAAAUGUCUCGUCGAGGGUUAUUUUUAGUAUAUUUUUGUGUUGUUUUUUUUAGUAUCAUCGAGGUAGUUAUCAAGUUACUAAAUGAUUGCUCGAAUUAUUUAAAUAUCAUUAUUUUAUUAUUUAACGAUUUUAAAUGAUUAAAUUACCAAUUACUUAAUUUAAUUACUGAUCGAGAUGAUUUAAUUAAUUAACUGAACCAAUUGAUUUAAAAGGGUUUGUGACUCACUCCCUUAACAGUUACGCUAAUUGACUGUAGUUUUGUGAACGAUUAAUUAAUUGAAUUUAUUAGUCGAUUCCAAAAGCAACAGUUAUUUUUUUUUUUUACUUUUUUCAUUAUUUUGUUUUACUUACGAGUUUGAAUUAGAAGUUUUCUUUUGCUAGUACAAAAGAAAAUUUCUGAGUCAAUAUAUUGAAUGCUAAAUAGUCGGUCUUAACUAGUUUACUAUAUUAGGGUUAUAAUUAUAUUAUUAUGUAUUGUAUGAUAUUUAUGUCAUGAAAUUGGUCGAGAUAAUCAUGCUUGGCUUAGUCUUUGUCUUAAUGACCAUUAAAGGGUGAACCAAAGACAAACAUAAUGCAUUUUUAAACGAAAGAAGUAUGGUAUGCUCAAAACUUCGAGUCCGUUGUGAAUCAUGUUCCCAGUGGGGUUGUAAUGGCUGCGCAGUUGCGAGGGUUGCAACUUCAGAGCGGACUAGAAGUUUGGGGCAUAAUAUAAAUGCGCAUUUAAUUUGGUUCGUGUUUGGUUUGCCAGUCGUUUUGUAUGUGCUAACUGUUGCAAGUAACUCGCUCAAGUCACAAGCAUCGAAUGACAACGAAAAUGUCUUUCAUCAUACACAUAGGUACUACGUAAUAAAAAAUUCAACUUGCUUUUUGUUUUAAAUUACUUUUAACACUUGUAUAAUGAUGGGUAAUAAUUAAUUCCUCGACAAAAUAAUCAAUUAUAGCAAUUGUGUGCGACCGAGAGAGGAAUAUAAAUUAUAAUAGUUAAUUAUGGAAAAGCUGUGAAUGACCUCGUUUUAUCUUAAACGAUUGUGACAAUAAAACAAAAAGUGGCAAGUUAUAUAUUCUUUUUUUUUUUUUAAUUUUUUUUUGUUCUUUUAAUUGUGACUUAAUUAAUUUUUAUCUAUAUGUUAUCUUAUUCAAUUAUAUUAACAAAUGUUGUAAAUGACAAAGCGACUGAACAAGUUUGGUAUAUCUUGGCCGUACACCACGAUGCUUUAAAAAUCUUGUUACCUUCACUCCAAGUAUAUUUUUUAAGGUUUAGGUAAGGUUUAUAUAAAGCUUUAUAACUUGAAUAAUAAUAUUAAUUAAAGAAUUAAUAAAUAACGGUAUCCUGUAAAAUCCUUAUUCCUAAGAAUCCAAUCCCAAAGCAUGUUUGGACGACCGACAAAAUUCAGCUACAGACCCGAACGCGUGGCGUUUGGGACGCAUCGACGAAACCGACCACGAAACACCAGUUUGAGGGCAAGCUCUGCAUCUAGCGGUGCGGCCGAGGCGACGCGACCGCUAGUGCAUUAUACACCUUAUGCCGCGGACAUAAGGGCCAUUCGAACUGAAGAUUUACCUGUGUCGAGGUAAAUUAGACUGUAUUCAUUGAUGGUGUAAAGUUCGAAAUCGAUUGAGUUUGGUUUGGAGAUUUAUUGGUAUACUUUGUGAGAAUAAGCGAUCGCCAGUGCAUCAUACUGCGUCGUGGACAUAAGGGCUAUUCGAACUGAAGAUUUAUCUGUGCCGAGGUAAAUUAGACUGUAUUCAUAGAUGGUGUAAAGUUCGAAUUCGAUCGAGUUUUGUUUGAAGAUUUAUUAGUAUACUUUGUGAGGACUAGCGAUCGCGAGUGUAUUAUCAACCUUAUGGUGUGGACAUAAGGGCCAUUUGUACUGAAGAUUUAUCUGUGCUGAGGUAAAUUAGACUGUAUUCAUAUGUGGUGUAAAGUUCGAAUUCGAUUGUAGCUGGUGAUUAAUUGAUAUAUUUUGUGAUUGAACGCUUGUAUCCAUUGGCUAAGUUGAGUUGCAUUAUCUGUGCCUAUUUUAUUUUUAUAUUAAAGCAGUGGCGUGCACAGGGUUCACAAAAGGGUAAGCGUUAAGGAAGUACACCAUGUGCAAACACCAGCCGAGUCCAAGAGUUAUGCACAGAUUUGAAUUUGUUUUUAUGAUUAGAAAUUUCCUAUUUUUACUUUUCAUUUUUUUUUUUAUUUUGACUGUUUUUGAUUGCCUAAAAGAGUAAAAUAUUGCAUAUAAGCCCGAAUAUUUUGACUGUGUUGAUUUGUUAGCUAGAUUAUACAGAGCUCCUAGACUAUAUGCAGUGUUUUAUUCAUAUAUGAAGUGCACGUCGCUGACUCUUUAAACUUGAACAAUUAUACGUUUUAUUGUUUAUUAUAUAUGCUGGUGAAUAAUUCUAAUGUAUUUAAUCUAAAUAAAUUAUGAUCUCGAAUUUAUUGUUUUGUGGAUUAUACUAGUCUUUUUUUUGUCGUAAUUAGAUUUUUUUGUACUACGAAUCGUAUCGCAUUUUCGUACGUGUAUUUACGAGUACUUAUAGGGAUCUCGUCGAAAGAGGCCGAAAAACACGGUUGUCUUUUCUCUCGCAGGCAUUUAACAAUUUCAUUUACAUUGUCUAUUUCGUUCCACUGGACUUGUUCAAAAUUCGUAACAAGACUUAGCUAAUGGAUUUGAUACGAAAACAUGUCAUAGACGAGACAUGUUUUUAUAGAAGUCAGCUAUUUUGUUACAAACGGAGAAAAUACAUGAAUUGAAAAUAACUAUGUAUAAUCCAAGAAGGAUAGUAAUGUUUUUCGUUAAUAAAUUUUAUAUGAUUGUACAGAGUGCAAAAAAAUCUCAAUCUAAAUAUUUUUUGAUUAUGAUUUUAUAUGACGUCAUGUAUUUAAUGCGAGUCCAAAGUUAGCUUCAAUGUACUAUAUCAUGUAAUAUGGACUGUUUUUUUGUUGACAGUAAAAUUUUGGAAACCAUAAAAGUUACUUUUAAUACAAAAAUACACAGAAUGUAAUAAAUCAUUCCAUAUGAUCAACCAAUUAAAUGUAUUGUAUGGUAUUGCAUGUAUAAGUAAAAAUAAUAAAUUAAUAAAGCACAUUUUACUGGCAACACCUUAACAGUCCUCUGUAACAAAUAAACAUGAGAAUUAUUUUGUAAUUUGUACUUCUAACGAGUUGACUUUUGGGAAAAGUUAACUUUAGAGUAUAUACAAGUUUCACAGUGUUAUGUAACGCGUUUUAUACUGGUGCAGGCAGGCGUUCGUGGAACGCUUGACAAACGCCUACGCCCCGAAAACGCUAGUAUGAAAAUACUCUUAUUGUUAACUGUGCAUAUUGAUCUGGAAAUGCAGACAAUGGUCACAAUGAAGCAAAUAUGAGAACCAUUAUUUUGUGUAUAGUCUUUAUAUAGAUAGACAAAGAAAAUCUAAUUGUCGAUAAUAAUUUUCUGUCACAUUCCAAUCGAUUUUUGUAUCGAUGCAGUAUAGCCUGUAAAAAAAAUAAAAUUCAAUAGCGUAAAUGAUUUUUUUUUGCUGACUGUACCGGUACAUAAAAUCGAAGUAUAAAAAUAAUAACAUAAUAAUCUUGCUCACAUCUAACUGAGCGAGAUUGAAAUAGCAAUGUCGCCAUUUGGUGUUCUAUGGGUUCAUAUAGUCGAAGAGCUAAAGAGCUAAAUUUUGAAAUAGUAAAUGAAGUAUGGAACUUGGUUACUGAUGCUCUUUGAUUAUGAUCAAAGCCAUUUGUGGUGUCCUUAUGAGAUUUGAGUGUAAAUAAGAAUUUUAGAUGUUACAAAGGGAACUGAAUGUAUUUACAAAGUAAAUCGGUUUAAUUAUUGUAUGAUAUAAAGAUGUUCAUUAUUACUUACCUAGUCGAUAUAUUACAGCGUGGUUUAUUGCGGGCCGCAGUUGCAAUCGCAUUGGUAUUAUCACGCCUUUAUUAUAGCCCUCACUAGUGUUUGGGAAAGUUGAAGGUAAAUUUUAACACUAAUCAUUCAUGGAAUUUCAUUUUUGGCUGUGAUUGUAACUGCGCUUCGCAAAAACCACAGGUAAUGGAUUCUCAAAAUUCUAAUAUAACACAAUUGCCACAUUCUAAAAUAUUAUACUGUAUCAAUCAUAAUGUUGCUUAUAUUCGGACGCACAAAAUAUGACAAAGAAACCAAAAAUUAAAAAAAAAUAUUUAAAGUAUCACAUGAACGCCAAUAAUUUCAAAUUCUAUCCGUACAAUAAAAUACUAUAUACAAUGUGUAAACAUAAAAUACAAUAACAAAUAUAGGCUAUACUGAAAAAAUAAAGUACAGUCUGCAUGAUAUUUUUGAAGGUUAAGGAAAAUUUAAAUCAUAAUAAUUUUAAUAAUAUUUUAUUGAGCCUAUUACGUUUUUUGCUGACUGUACUGAAUUGAAAUCAUACAUGUUAUGAAUUUUAUAAUAAAUAAAAAGACGAUAUAUCAAUCAUAGGACAUACAUAAUAUACAAUAAUGUUUUUUUUUUUGUGUACCAAUGUAUACUUAUAUUUUUUCAUAAUGCAUAAUAAAUUUCGAGUAAGUACAUAAGAGUCUUAGUAAGUACAUACAUAUAUGCCUACCCCACAUUACAUGUCAAAAUAAAAUUUAUAGAACAAAAAAUAAAUAAAAUAUACAUUACAUAUUAUACAUAACAUAUUUUUGACGAUUUUUUUUGAUAGAAAAUAGAGGAUUCGUUUCAUAAUGAUAAUAUUAACAUUCCAAUUAUAUGAGUUUUUGAUCCGGAAAAAGUUGCUUAUUUACUGUGUUUUUUUAUUAUUUAAUUUUAUUAAUUGUGUUAAAAUUAUUCCUUUUCUCUGAUAUAUUUUUCUAUGGUAAAAAAGCUUUUUUCCGUAUCAAGAGUAUAUUCUUCGACCCUCAUAAAAAAUAAUCGUUGAUUUGAAUAAAAAUAAAUGCACUGCCAUUGCAAAAUAAUAAUUGAUUUGUCAAUAUGAAAACAUUAUUAUUAAGUAUCAUUGAUGUCAUUUAUGCCUCAAAUGAGCAUCAAAAUAUGGAUCUCGAUAUGAUUAUAUAUUUUUUUGUAAAGUGGCAACAUUGGACUAGUAAAAUUUUUAAUGGCUCCUAUACACUAUCAGACAUGCUGGAUGAUUAUAAGUUAUCAUAAAUGUACAGAGAAUAUAUGGAUUGUUAUUUUAAAUGGCUCAUUUACACUGUCGGCCAUGAUAGAUGAUUAGACAAUGUCGAGUGUGUUGUAAGGCAUAUUUGUAUAUUAUUGUGUUUAGAAUCUCGCUGAGACAGUUUUCUGGAUAAAAAUCCAAAGAAUGAUCAUGAUUUAGAUCAUCUUGCAAACUUUCGACGUGACAACGUCUUAUAAUUUGAUGGAGCCGGCUAUAUAUUCGAAAAAAGAUGACGUCAUGCGUCGUUCCCUCGCUCUAGGGUUGCCAACUUUUUUUACAAGAAAUAAAGUAUAUUCUGGUCUAUGAAGAUUAUUAAACAGUAUUUUAGAAAAACGGACAUUUUCUUUUCAAAAAUGCAACCAUUCCAUCAGUAUUUAUUAUGACGUUGUCACGCUCAACUAUCGUCAGUAAUCCGACAAUAAAGACAGACGAUUUUUUUUCGUAUUCAGGAUAUUUUACACUCCUUGUACUCGUCUAUCAAGACCGGCUGUGUAUAGGAGCCAUAACAAAUAAAAGUGAAGAUAUUGAAAUUAAUAUAGUAUGUUUAACGAGGAGAGAUAAAUAAUGUAAACAAAUAGACUCCUUUUUGGAUUUUUUGGAUUUUUUUUUUUUUUUGGAUAGAAGCAGGCGUUACUGUGCGGAAGUUCAUCAUGAUGACUUCAAAGAUACUCUACUUUGAAGUCGGUUAAAUUUUAUAUUAAAAAGAUUUUUAUCUCGCCUCGUUAUACCUACUUACAAUUUUACGAGCUUUUGCAGUUUUUUUUCAUACCAUCGAAAAUUAGUUUGUCCAAUGUACACAGACUAGGAUGUCUCCCGGUUUGUGAUGAUUGUUCAUAUGAUAUUAACCUGUAAUAAAUAUUUGCUUUUAAGUCAGUGUUAAAUAAUUGUUGCUAAUUCUUAAUUAAAGUAUGUACCUUCAUACAUGUGUGCAUUUUAAGAAAUUAACUAUGACGAGGCUCAAACGGUGAAGGAACAUUAAGAGGAAACCUGUAUGCCUGCGAAUAUUAUUAAUUCCGCAUUGGACCAGCGUGGUGGACUAUUAGUUUAACCCCUCUCAUUCUGAAAGGAGACUUCAGCAGUGAGCCGAAUAUGGGUUGAUUAUGAUGAUGAUGAUAAGAAUAGAAUCUCAGAACUAAGAACAGAGUCUCCUCUCAGACUGAGAAGGCUUAGAUUUAGUCCACCACGCACAGGUCCAAUGCGUAUUGGCAGACGUAGAGAAUUAAGAAAACUCUCAGGUAAGCAGGCUUCCUCACGAACAAAUUACAAUUCUUAUAACACACGAAAAUAAUGACGAUAUUGGAUUCGGUGUCAAAGCAAAUAUUAUUACAGGUUUUUUAAUUGCCUUGAAGUGUUAAAUACCAGAUGUGUUUGCGUCAAACGGUUCACAGACGAAAGCACUGGGCCUGUGUAGCCAAGUGGAACGUCGAUAUUCUUUUUACAAACGGUAACGCUUCGAAAUUUAAAAAAAAUCAUGGGAAUGACAGUUGCUAGCGAAAGGUCACGUGAUCAAGUUUUCGAUCGGAUCUGUCAUUCCAAUAAGUUUUUCUAGUUUUCGAAGCGUUAGCGUUUGUAGAAACAGAAUCGAUGUGCCACUUGGCUAAAGGCCUUGUUCUGUUUCCGUGGCCUCGCUCCUUCUCGCACAACCCUACAGUGACAUGCAUGUGACCGUGCCGUACCUUAUCUAUUUCAGCAUAUUGACGGCCUCCGCAGUGGUAAGCGCGGUGGAAUUACAAGUCUCAGGUCCUGAAUUCGAUCCCGGACUGGGCCGAUUGAGGUUUUCUUAAUUGGUGCAGGUCAGGCUUCGACCGUAACUAGCUACCACCUUACCGGUAAAGACGCACCACCAAGCCAUUAAGCGUUCGGAUACUAAGUCGUGUAGAAACCAAUUGGAUUUUCAUCCUACGCCUAACUUACUCCACUUCCAUCUUAGAUUGUAUCAUUACUUACUGUCAGGUGAGAUUUCCCGCUAACUUGUAAGGAAUAUUAAAAUAAAAAAAAUACAAGUAAAAGCUUCAGACCUAUUCAGCUAUUACUUACGAGUACAUAUUUACAUUUACACUUCUGCCCUUCAAUCAUGUUUGCCAUUAAGACAUUCAUUAAAUGGGGAAGUUUAUGGUAUGUUAAGAUGUCGGUCUCGGUAUUUAUCAUUAACAUCUGGAAUUGUAUCUAAGUGUCCCGCCAACUUGCAUUGCAGUAGCGUUGUGGGUUUAUGCUCCAAAUCCUCUCUGUAAGGAAGCCUGUGGUAGGUCAUUUAAAUAUGCUGAUAAUGAUGAAGCAUAUCUGACGACAUCAACUUUCACAAGUGACGUGGGAUUCCCCGGGGACCAUUGUCAAGCCAAUGGUCAAUCAAGUUAAGGUCCAAUUAAUCUUUUAUACUUACAUACUCAAGUUCAUUGAAAUCGGUUUAGCAGUUUGUUUAGCAAUUAAAGGUAACAGACAGACAGACUUGCAUUAAUAACAAUGUCGCAAUAUUUAUUGACUGUCAUGUCACUGAAUGGUUGUGUGGUGUUAGGAGCUUCCUUAAGACGGGCGUCCACAUAUCCGCAUCGUAUUAUUAUUGAUCUGAAACAAUUUUUAAUUUUAUCGUACAGUCGUGCGAUCCGUACGAUGCGAAUCAGUGGACGCACGUGCGUGACUUCUAUACAAAGAAUACUACGAUCCGUUUGAUGCGAUGCGUCCGAUACGGAUCUGUGGACGCCUACCAUUAUAAUGCCUUACCGAAUUGCCAUUUGUGAUGACUGUAAAUGAUGUAUGUGUGGAUUAUACCAUUGUAGUAACUACAUGUUGAAAUGAAUAGAGAUACAAAGUAAAUAAAUAACAAAUUGUA